rnacentral:rRNA from 1 species
UACGAAGGGGGCUAGCGUUGUUCGGAUUUACUGGGCGUAAAGCGCACGUAGGCGGAUCGUUAAGUCGGGGGUGAAAUCCUGGAGCUCAACUCCAGAACUGCCUUCGAUACUGGCGAUCUUGAGUCCGGAAGAGGUGAGUGGAACUCCUAGGUGUAGAGGUGGAAUUCGUAGAUAUUAGGAAGAACACCAGUGGCGAAGGCGGACUCACGUGGUCCGGUUA